GAACUCAGGAGAAGGAACUCGGCAAAUUGACACCGUAACUUCGGAAGAAGGUGUGCCUUUAGUAGGUGAACCUGUACAAGGGGAGCCCAAUGAGGUUGCAAAAAAUCGGUGGCUGCGACUGUUUAAUAAAAACACAGCACUCUGCAAACACGAAAGUGGACGUAUAGGGUGUGACGCCUGCCCGGUGCUGGAAGAUUAAAUGAUGGGGUGCAAGCUCUUGAUUGAAGUCCCAGUAAACGGCGGCCGUAACAAUAACGGUCCUAAGGUAGCGAAAUUCCUUGUCGGGUAAGUUCCGACCUGCACGAAUGGCGUAACGAUGGCCACACUGUCUCCUCCUGAGACUCAGCGAAGUUGAAAUGUUUGUGAUGAUGCAAUCUCCCCGCGGAAAGACGGAAAGACCCCAUGAACCUUUACUGUAGCUUUGUAUUGGACUUUGAACAGAUCUGUGUAGGAUAGGUGGGAGGCUUUGAAGUGUGGUCGCUAGAUCGCAUGGAGCCAACGUUGAAAUACCACCCUGGUGUGUUUGAGGUUCUAACCUAGGCCCGUAAUCCGGGUCGGGGACAGUGCAUGGUAGGCAGUUUGACUGGGGCGGUCUCCUCCCAAAGCGUAACGGAGGAGUUCGAAGGUACGCUAGGUACGGUCGGACAUCGUGCUAAUAGUGCAAUGGCAUAAGCGUGCUUAACUGCGAGACUGACAAGUCGAGCAGAUGCGAAAGCAGGACAUAGUGAUCCGGUGGUUCUGUAUGGAAGGGCCAUCGCUCAACGGAUAAAAGGUACUCUGGGGAUAACAGGCUGAUACCGCCCAAGAGUUCAUAUCGACGGCGGUGUUUGGCACCUCGAUGUCGGCUCAUCUCAUCCUGGGGCUGUAGCCGGUCCCAAGGGUAUGGCUGUUCGCCAUUUAAAGAGGUACGUGAGCUGGGUUUAAAACGUCGUGAGACAGUUUGGUCCCUAUCUUCCGUGGGCGCUGCAGAUUUGAGGAAGCCUGCUCCUAGUACGAGAGGACCGGAGUGGACACACCUCUGGUGUAUCGGUUGUCACGCCAGUGGCAUUGCCGAGUAGCUAUGUGUGGAAGAGAUAACCGCUGAAAGCAUCUAAGCGGGAAACUCGUUUCAAGAUGAGAUCUGCCGGGGCCUUGAGCCCCCUAAAGAGUCGUUCAAGACCAGGACGUUGAUAGGUCGGGUGUGGAAGCGCAGUAAUGCGUUAAGCUAACCGAUACUAAUUGCUCGUGCGGCUUGACC
rnacentral:rRNA from 1 species